rnacentral:rRNA from 1 species
GUGGGGAAUCUUAGACAAUGGGGGCAACCCUGAUCUAGCCAUGCCGCGUGAUCGAUGAAGGCCUUAGGGUUGUAAAGAUCUUUCAGCUGGGAAGAUAAUGACGGUACCAGCAGAAGAAGCCCCGGCUAACUCCGUGCCAGCAGCCGCGGUAAUACGGAGGGGGCUAGCGUUGUUCGGAAUUACUGGGCGUAAAGCGCACGUAGGCGGAUUGGAAAGUUGGGGGUGAAAUCCCGGGGCUCAACCCCGGAACUGCCUUCAAAACUCCCAGUCUUGAGGUCGAGAGAGGUGAGUGGAAUUCCGAGUGUAGAGGUGAAAUUCGUAGAUAUUCGGAAGAACACCAGUGGCGAAGGCGACUGACUGGACAAGUAUUGACGCUGAGGUGCGAAAGCGUGGGGAGCAAACAGGAUUAGAUACCCGUGUAGUCC